CUCAUCCCCUGUCUUUCCCAUCUGGCAUCCCAAAUACCCUUUUCCCCAUCUCUCUCCCUCUCAUGCUCCUCUCCCCCUCUCCUGUUCCUUUGCCCUGUCUGUCUUGCUGUCUCCCAUCCGCUUUUCUGCCCUGUCUGUCUCUCUCUGUCUCCCAUCCGCUACUCUGCCCUGUCUCUCCCCCUGCAGCUCGGUGCCUGAGUGGAGUCUAGCUUCCCAGCUGACUCCACUCAGGCAAUCAACCACCCCUACGGCUCCCGGACAGCAGACGAUCAUCACACUGAUUACUCGCCUCCACGAUAAGAACCGGCUCAUCCUUCCACUCCCUGCCAGAUUGUUGAACCAAGACACCUCAGUCAGCUGUCCGGGAUCCCCGCCAUCCUCCUUCCCCUCCGGCUCUCCCCAACCCAGUCAUCACCGGUUUUUCCCUCCUGGACCCUCCUGCCCAUGCCUGGACUCCCUAUUCCUGCCUGGACCCCCAUUCCUGCCUGGACCCCUUCUGUCCCUGCCUGGAUUCCCCCCCGUUCCUGGCCAAAACCCGCCACUACACCAGCCGCUCCUGCACUCUGGUUUUCCCCUCACCGAGCCAUUAUUCACCCCUCCAACAAUAAAACUCCUCUUCAGUCCCA